rnacentral:miRNA from 1 species
AUUCUAAUUUCUCCACAUCUUU